rnacentral:piRNA from 1 species
UAAGUCCUCACUAUGAAGUGAAUCUGGUGU